UUGAACGCUGGCGGCAUGCUUUACACAUGCAAGUCGCACGGCAGCGCGGGCUUCGGCCUGGCGGCGAGUGGCGAACGGGUGAGUAAUGCAUCGGAACGUGCCCAGUAGUGGGGGAUAGCCCGGCGAAAGCCGGAUUAAUACCGCAUACGACCUGAGGGUGAAAGCGGGGGACCGAAAGGCCUCGCGCUAUUGGAGCGGCCGAUGUCGGAUUAGCUUGUUGGUGGGGUAAAGGCUUACCAAGGCGACGAUCCGUAGCUGGUCUGAGAGGACGACCAGCCACACUGGGACUGAGACACGGCCCAGACUCCUACGGGAGGCAGCAGUGGGGAAUUUUGGACAAUGGGGGCAACCCUGAUCCAGCCAUGCCGCGUGCGGGAAGAAGGCCUUCGGGUUGUAAACCGCUUUUGUUCGGGAAGAAAUCCUCUGGGCUAAUACCCCGGGGGGAUGACGGUACCGGAAGAAUAAGCACCGGCUAACUACGUG
rnacentral:rRNA from 1 species